rnacentral:rRNA from 1 species
GAUGAACGCUGGCGGCGUGCCUAAUACAUGCAAGUCGAGCGAACAGACGAGGAGCUUGCUCCUUUGACGUUAGCGGCGGACGGGUGAGUAACACGUAGGUAACCUACCUAUAAGACUGGGAUAACUUCGGGAAACCGGAGCUAAUACCGGAUAAUAUUUCGAACCGCAUGGUUCGAUAGUGAAAGAUGGCUUUGCUAUCACUUAUAGAUGGACCUGCGCCGUAUUAGCUAGUUGGUAAGGUAACGGCUUACCAAGGCAACGAUCCGUAGCCGACCUGAGAGGGUGAUCGGCCACACUGGAACUGAGACACGGUCCAGACUCCUACGGGAGGCAGCAGUAGGGAAUCUUCCGCAAUGGGCGAAAGCCUGACGGAGCAACGCCGCGUGAGUGAUGAAGGUCUUCGGAUCGUAAAACUCUGUUAUUAGGGAAGAACAAAAGUGUAAGUAACUGUGCACGUCUUGACGGUACCUAAUCAGAAAGCCACGGCUAACUACGUG